ACCUCUCACAAAUCAUUUGCAUAAUUGCAUUUCCUAUAUCUUCACUGUGAGACAUAGAGAGAGAGAGAGAGAGAGAGCUGCUGAGAGCAAUGACGAUAGUGGUGGACAAAGUGCUAGAGGAUCAGGUAGCCCAGGGAGUAAACGCGUUGGUCCAAACUGUAGCAUACAACGUGAAGCUGGUUCGUGGCAUAGAUUCUGAGAUAAAGGAUCUCACCUCCGACAUCGAAACCUUUAGCGCCAGGCUUAUAGAAGCUUCCAAGAACUCAUGGGCCACUGAUCACCACGUUCUGAGAGUUGUUGUCAAAAAGUUCAGAAAUGUUGUGAAUGAAGCCCAGGAUACGAUUGCCGACUAUGUUGCUCUGAAGGGGAAGCAUGUAGACAAUGUGUUCUCAAAAUCUUUGGAUAAGAUUCCAUUUUGUGGAAAGAUCAAGGAUUUUGCGAGUGAGAUCCAGUCCAUAAGGGCUAAGCUGGCUAAGAUUCGGCAAGACCACGGAAAAGAACUUCUACAACUCAUGACGUACAAAAUCAAUGAACAAAACAAGGGUCUGCUAACUCUCCAGGUUCAACCAACAGUAGAGAAAGACAAGGUAUUUGGAUUUGAAAAUGAUUUGAAGACCAUAAAGGGUUUCAUAGAGGCAUCCGAUAAUUUUAUUGUCAUCCCAAUUGUGGGGAUAACUGGAACUGGAAAAACCAUAUUUGCCUCGAUGGUUUUCGAAGAGUACAAAUGCAUUCCCGAAAAUUUCAACAAGUACAUUUGGGUUAAUGUUUCACAAGAUUUUGAUAGAAAACAGAAAUUCAUUGACAUAAUCUAUCAAAUUACCAGUCGUAGAGAGGACAUUAGCAUGAUGACAGAAGAAGGGUUGGCACGUGAAAUUUGUCAACUUCUAAAGAAUGAAAAGUACUUUGUUGUGUUGGAUGAUGUACGAAAAAAAGAAGAUUGGGAUUCUUUUAAAGUUGUAUUCCCUACAAACUUGAAAGGAAGUAGGGUCUUGGUGACCUCCCCAUAUGGCAAUGUAGUUGAUUCUAACUGGAGAUCACAUAAUUUAGAAAAGUUAAGCAAUGGGGAAGGUUGGUUGCUAUUGAAAAAUAAUGCUUUUGGUAUAGAGGGAUGCAAUGACGAAGUAUUAGAAAAUCUGGGGAAAGAAAUAGCAAAUAAAUGCAAUGGAUUACCACUAGCUCUAGUAGCGGUAGGUGGUAUGCUACGUCAACGUAGGAAUAUUGCUGACUGGCAACGGGUUGCUGAAAAUCCUUUUUUAGAAAUUAAUCAAGAAGGUCAAAUCUACUGUGACCGAGUAAAAAUGACUUACAAUGAUUUGCCUGAUGAGAAGUUGAAAAAUUGCUUCCUAUAUUUUGCAUGUUUUCCCAUUGGACAUGAGAUUGUUGUUUGGAAGUUGAUCCAUUUGUGGAUUGCUGAAGAAUUCAUUCCAACCAUAGAUGAGCAGGGGUAUGCUUUAGAGGCAGAAGUUGAAGCUGAAAAAUAUUUGAAUGAUCUUGUGGAUAGAAAUCUUGUGAUGGUGGUAAAACGAAGAGUAAAUGGGCAAAUAAAAACUUGUUGUAUCCCCAGCACAUUGCAUGAGUUUUGCAAAAGUGAAGGUGCAAGGAUAAAUUUGUUCCAUGUAAUGGAUGAGGGGCAAAGAUUAGAUAAGAAUAUUUCUUUAACUCAUGGGAAUAUAUCUUCAACUCGUCGUCUUUGUUUUCACUCCUUUACUAAAAACAAAUUUGAUGUCCUCAUCAAAUCCUACAACCAAAAGAGGAGUUUAUGCCCAUUUGGCAAACACAUCCAUUCUUUGUUGUUGUUUUCCGAUGGAGGGGAUAAUAUUACUUUUACAAAAGAUGAAUUAGCAACCAUUCCAAUCACCUUUCCGCUUCUUAGGGUGUUGAACAUUGAAUUUUCCAUUGAGUUUUAUAGCUUGCUAUCGGAUGAGCUUGAUAUGGUCCUACCGAAUGAGCUUUAUAACUUACAUCUCCUUAGGUAUCUUGCCAUCAAAAGCGAUCUCAAUUCCCUCCCAAAUUCAUUCAAAAAUCUUCGUGGAUUAGAGACUUUAGUCAUCGAAACCACAUCAUCGACACUACAAAUUGAUGAAGGCAUAUGGAACAUGGAAAAGUUAAGGCAUGUACACACCAAUACCUCUCUGCAAUUACCACCCUUUCCUCCGAAAAGAAGCACAACUAACUCUGGAGGAAAAGACAUCCGCACACUUUCUACAAUAUCGCCAACAAAUUGUACAAGAGAGAUCUUUCAGAAGACCCCCAAUCUCCAAAAAUUAGGUGUUCGUGGGGAUUUAUCAAAAUUACUAAAGGAAUCAGUAAUAAGUUUUUUAUUCGAAAGUCUAAAAUGCCUUGAAAACUUGAAGCUCUAUGGCCAGUAUGAUAAAGUGUUAACUUUCCCAAGUGAGAUCGUGGAUGCAUCAAGGCUAAAAAAGUUGAGCUUCUCCGGCACACUUUUUGAGUGGAAAGAUGUAAGAGUAUUGGGGUUGUUGGAGGAGCUUGAGGUGCUCAAGUUGGAUGACUAUGCAUUCAAGGGGGAGAAUUGGGAACUAAGCAAUGACGUUGUUUUCAAACGCCUUCAAUAUUUGCGCAUUGGAAGGACGAACCUAAUAACUUGGAAGUUGGCCACGGAGAAUAGCUUCCCAACUUUACGAAGUCUAAUCCUUCGAAAUUGUAGCUCUCUUGAAAAAAUUCCAGAAGCUUUUGCUAAUGUUGAUACCCUUGAGGUGAUGGAAUUGUUACACAUGAGUGAAAGUGCUGUUCAGUCUGCAAAAGAGGUCAAAGAAAAGCAGCUCAAAAACUGUGGAUUCCAGCUCCUCAUACCCCCUAAAAUGGGAGAGGAACCAAUGACGGCAGUGACGAUGAUAGAGAAAGCGGGAGAGGAAAUGGCUGAAUAUGUGGUACUGUCUUGUCGUUAUUGGAGUGCUAAAGGUGAGUUUCCUGGCUUAUGUUCGGAGUUAAAGGGUAUGAGCUUGGAUAUCCAAAUCAUUAAUGCCAGCCUCGAUCAAGCUUACAACAAUAAUUCAAUUGCAUCUCUCGAUGUUUUGAUGCUCAAAACCUUUCAAACUAUUGUGAAUGAAGCCCGGGAUGUGGCUGCCAGAUGCUUCUUUCCAAAAUAUUUCAGAACCCUCACAAAUGCGAGUGGGGUCCAGUCUGUUAGGUCAAAGAUUAAUAUGUUUCGCCAACAACACCAAAAUGACCUUCACUCCCUCACCAAAAUCUGCUGGACCAAUGUUCUUCUACCAACUGUCCAGAUACAGAGAUCGAUAGGAGCGAUAGAGGAAGUAGAGCUGGCGGUAAACAUGCUAGUACAAACUGUAGGAGACAAUGUGAACUACAUUAUGAAGUCUGAGAUAGAGGACAUGACCUUUCAAAUCAAAACAUUUACUGAGAGCUUGGUGGUAGCUUGCAAGAGCCCACUGGCCAAUGAAAACCGUGUUUUGAGAUUAAUAGUAAAAAAAUUCGGAACACAUGUGAAUGAAGCCAGGGAUGCAGUUGCCAACUACUUUGCACAGGAGAAGAAGCAUGGAUUGGCUAAAGCUUUUGAUAAGAUUCGGCUUUGUGGAAAGCUCAAUGAUGUUGUGAGUGAGAUCCAGUCCAUUAAGGAAAAAGUGAAAACCAUUUGCGAAGACCACAAAGCACACCUUCAACACCUCCAGGAGGACUACAACAAACGUAGUGAUCUGCCACCUCCCAAGGUUCGCGCGAAUUUACGUGAAAACAAGAUUGUUGGCUUUAAUGAUGAUUUGAAAACCAUAAAAACUCGAUUAAUGGAAGCAUCCAAAGAUUUCUUUGUCAUCCCAAUUGUGGGGAAUGCUGGGACAGGAAAAACUACAUUUGCCUUAAAGAUUUUUGAAGACGCAGAAAUCCAGAAAUAUUUCACACAUUGCGUUUGGGUUCAUGUUUCACGAGGCUUUCAUAGAAAACAAAAAUUCAUUGAAAUUCUACAUCAAAUUUCCAAGCAAACAGAUGACUUCAGCAUCGCGUUAGAAGAUGUGUUGGAAGCUAAAAUAAAGGAAAUAUUAGAAGAUAAAAGAUACUUCAUUGUAUUGGAUGAUGUGCGGGAAAAAUAUGACUGGGAUUCUUUAAAAGUUGCAUUCCCUACAAAUUUGAAAGGGAGUAGAGUCCUGGUAACCACUUGGAGCGGAAAUGCAGUUGAUUGUACUUGGAAAUCUCAUAGUUUAGGAAAGUUGAGCAAUGAAGAUGGUUGGUUGCUAAUAAAAAAUAAUUUUUUUGGUACAGAGGGAUGUUGUGACACAUUAAUUGAAGAGCUUGGAAUAAAAAUAGCAGAAAAGUGCAAUGGAUUACCACACGCUCUAGUACUGGUAAUUGGUAUCCUACGCAAUUGUAUAACUUCUGUUGAUUGGCAACGAGUGGCUGAUAAUCCGCUUCUAGAAAUUAACGGAGAAGACCAAAGCUAUCAUGCGUUAGUAAAGUUGAGCUAUGAUGAUUUGCGUGAUGAGGGCUUGAAAAAAUGUUUCUUAUAUUUUGCAUAUUUUCCCAUGGGACAUGAGAUUGUUGCUUGGAAGUUAAUUUGUUUGUGGAUUGCUGAAAGAUUCAUUCCAAUAGAAGAUGAUUACUCUUUAGAGGCAGAAGUUGAAGCUUCAAAAUAUUUGAAUGUUCUUGUUAAUAGAAAUCUUGUGAUGGUAAAGAAAAGAAGCGCAGAUGGUCAAAUCAAAACAUGUUGCAUUCAUGACACAUUGCAUGAGUUUUGCAGAAGUGAAGCUGAGAGGGAAGAGUUAUUCCAUGUAAUGGAUGAGGGGCAAAGAUUAAAUGAAAGAAUUUAUUUGGAGAGACUUUGUUCCUACUACACUAUGAACAUAUUUGAUGUAGAAAACAAUAAUCCAUCUGAUUCAUUCUCCAAUCUCUUCAACAAAAGGAUGGGUCCACGUCAAAAUGGUGAAUAUGUUGGAUCUUUGUUGUUGUCCUCCUCACAAAAGAGUGAGAUUCCUUCGAUGCCAGAGCAAUUGGAAACCAUCAUAAAAACCUUUGAUUACCUUCGGGUGUUGAAUAUUGAAUCCCUCAAAUUUAGCUCACUGCCAAAUGUGCUUUAUUCCAAACUCUUGAUCAGGUAUCUUGCAAUCACAGCUGAUAUCAGUUCCCUCCCCAAGUCAUUCAAAGAUUUUCUAUGGUUGGAGACUCUGGUGAUAAAAACUACAGAAAGGGCGCUACAAAUUAAUGGAGGCAUAUGGAACAUGGAAUAUCUAAGACAUGUGCGCACCAACAGCUCUACGCAAUUACCCUCUCCUCCCAAAAGAGGCAAGCAUAGCCGUAAACACACAGAUAUCCUCACACUUUCUACCAUAUCACCAGGAAGUUGCACAAGCAAGAUCUUCAACAAGACCCCCAAACUCCAAAAAUUAGGUGUUCGUGGGAACUUAUCAAAACUUUUGGAAAAAAAGAAAAACGCUUGCUUGUUCAACAAUAUUCAAAUGCUAGAACGCCUUGAAAACUUGAAGCUUCAUGGCAACUCUGAGAAAGUAGAGUUGAAAGUCCCAAUGGUGGAUAAGUUUCCAAGAAGGCUAAGAAAAUUGACCUUGUCUGGUACAUUGUUUCAAUGGAGUGACAUGACUGUAUUGGGAUCGCUGGAGAAGCUUAAGGUGCUCAAGUUGGAUGACAAUGCAUUCUCAGGGGAAGAUUGGGAUGUACGCAAUGAUGUUAUUUUCAAAGGGCUUAAUUAUUUGCGCAUUGGAAAGACCAACCUCAAAACUUGGACAGCUGUGGAGCUAGAGAAAAGCUUUCCGGUUCUAGAAACCCUAGUUCUCAGAAAUUGUAUUUCCCUACAAAAUAUUCCACAGGAUUUUGCUAAUGUGGACAGUCUUGAAUUGAUGGAACUGUUUGGCGUGAGUGAAAGGGUGGCUGAUUUUGCAAGAGAGAUUUGUGAGAAAAGGCAUGGCAAAACAAAUGUCAAGAUCAAUGGAUUCAACCUCUUCAUCACUCCUCUUCCGUCACAAGCAACCGAACAUAACCAAGCAUAUGGGGUUGAAAAUGUCAACACGAAUGGAUUUGAGCACCCCAGCACCACUACUUUGUCAAAAGAAAUUGUACAUAAGCAAUCAAAUGGAGAGGAAAAUGUCAACUUUAGUGGAUUCGAUCACCACAACACCUCUACUUCAUCACAAGGAAUCGUACAUAAGCAAUCAAAUGGGGAGGAAAAUGUCAACAACAGUGGAUUCGACCACCUUAGCACAUCUACUCUGUCACAUGAAAUAAAUGCAGAAAAGAUGCAUGUGAUGGAAGAGUCAUGAGAGGUAGGCUCCAAGCCUCAAGUUUCUAACAUAAUCAGUCUACUUGAGCAACUGGCGCAACUUGUAGCAACAAUUUAUUCACCAAUGAGGAGCAAAGGAAGGAUUUUCUAUCAAUUUGGACCAGUUCUCGAGACUUAAGGAAUCCACCCCGGGCCGGAAAGGAGCAACAGAGCACAAAAGAAGUCAGAAAAGGACCAUAGGGCCGCAUCACGGCCAGCCUCACGGCCGUGAUGCCGGCCGUGACCUCCGCUAUGGACAGGCAGCCGGCCACACCGCAUCACGGCCACGAUCCCGGCCGUGAUGGCGGCCGUGACCCGGCUGCUGUCCAGUAUUUAAGUGGCGUUUUCUGAUGUUUUGGGGACUUCGAACCCUAGUUUUAGCCCAGUGCAGUUUUUACCUUCUUUAGAGUUUUCCAUAGCAUAGAAUACAGUAGAUUUACAUCAUUGAAUUCAGUUUGAAGCUUGGAAUCAUCGUUCGGAUCAGUUUUACUUUGAAGAAUUGUUAGUAAAGUUUGCCCUUUUAUUCUUUAA